GAUGAAGAACGCAGCGAAAUGCGAUACUUGGUGUGAAUUGCAGAAUCCCGUGAACCAUCGAGUCUUUGAACGCAAGUUGCGCCUCAAGCCAUUAGGUUGAGGGCACGUCUGCCUGGGCGUUACAUAUCGUUGCCUGAUGCCAGUUUCCUCGUGAUGGGUGACUGUGCAGGGCGAAUGAUGGCUUCCCGUGAGCAUUGUUGCCUCAUGGUUGGUUGAAAAUUGAGUCCUUGGUAGGGAGCGCCGUGAUAGAUGGUGGUUGAGUGACGAACGAGACCCAAUCAUGUGAGACCCCUACCGAAUUUGGCCUUCAUGACCCACAUGCGUCUUUGGAACGCUCAUGACGAGACCUCAGGUCAGGCGGGGCUACCCGCUGAGUUUAAGCAUAUCAAUAAGCGGAGGA
rnacentral:misc_RNA from 1 species